AUGGCGAUUAGCGGUGGGCGGGGGUGGCCGGCGAGCACGGGCGGCGCGAGGGUGACCGGCAAGCACGGGCGGCACGGGUGGCCGACGAGUCAGGCGCGAGCGCGGGCGGCGCGGGGGUGGCCGGCGAGCAUGGGCGCGAGCACGGGUGGCGCGAGAGUUGCCGGCGAGCAUGGGCGCGAGCACAGGCGGCGCGGGCUGGCCGGCGAGGGCAGGCUGCGCGGGUUGGCCGGUGAGGGCGGGCUGCACGAGUUGGCCGACGAGCGCGGGCUGCGUGGGGUGGCUGGCGAGCACGGGCGCAAGCACUGGUGA
rnacentral:rRNA from 1 species